UUGGAGGGCAAGUCUGGUGCCAGCAGCCGCGGUAAUUCCAGCUCCAAUAGCGUAUAUUAAAGUUGUUGCAGUUAAAAAGCUCGUAGUUGAAUUUCGGGGUCAGUAGGUUGGUCAUGCCACUGGUAUGUACUGGUCUCACUGAUUCCUCCUUCCUGAUGAACUGUAAUGCCAUUAAUUUGGUGUUGCAGGGAAUCUGGACUGUUACUUUGAAAAAAUUAGAGUGUUUAAAGCAGGCUAACGCCUGAAUACAUUAGCAUGGAAUAAUGAAAUAGGACGUUCGAUCCUAUUUUGUUGGUUUCUAGGAUUGACGUAAUGAUUAAUAGGGAUAGUUGGGGGCAUUAGUAUUCAAUUGUCAGAGGUGAAAUUCUUGGAUUUAUUGAAGACUAACUACUGCGAAAGCACUUGCCAAGGAUGUUUUCAUUAAUCAAGAACGAAAGUUAGGGGAUCGAAGACGACCAGAUACCGUCGUAGUCUUAACCAUAAACUAUGCCGACUAGGGAUCGGAUGAUGUUAAUUUUUUAAUGACUCAUUCGGCGCCUUACGGGAAAC
rnacentral:rRNA from 1 species